rnacentral:tRNA from 1 species
AUUUAAAUAGCUUAAAAUAGAGCAUUAUAUUGAAGAUUAUAAAUUUAAAAAAUUAUUUUUUAUAAAAAUA